rnacentral:rRNA from 1 species
GGAAUUUUGCGCAAUGGGCGAAAGCCUGACGCAGCAACGCCGCGUGGAGGAUGAAGGUCUUCGGAUCGUAAACUCCUGUCAGUGGGGACGAAUGCCUCGCAAGAGGUUUGACUGUACCCGCUGAGGAAGCCACGGCUAACUCCGUGCCAGCAGCCGCGGUAAUACGGAGGUGGCAAGCGUUGUUCGGAAUUACUGGGCGUAAAGGGCGCGUAGGCGGCUUGGCAAGUCAGAUGUGAAAGCCCCGGGCUUAACCCGGGAAUUGCAUCUGAAACUGCUUUGCUUGAGUCCUGGAUGGGAUAGUGGAAUUCCCAGUGUAGCGGUGAAAUGCGUAGAUAUUGGGAGGAACACCUGCGGCGAAGGCGGCUAUCUGGACAGUGACUGACGCUGAGGCGCGAAAGCUAGGGGAGCGAACGGGAUUAGA